AUGGCAUCUGAAACCCACAAUGUUAAAAAGCAGAACUUUUGAAAUAAUAUUCAGGAUCAUUUCGUUGAUGGACUAGGAAAAGCAUUUCUAAUUUCAUUAAUAAGAACAAGAAGGAAGUUAAGAAAUCGCAACAGUUAGCAGUUUAUAUAAAUAGAAGAGUUGGACAAGCUGUGAAAAGUCCCCAAAAACUAUGUAAGGUAAUCUUUCAUAGAAAGUUAGUUCAUUAUUCCUUUCUAAACCUCUGUUACAGGAAAAACAAACGAAACAAACAAAAAAACACAGUACCCUAGAAGUGGAACUGUGACAUGGCAAAUAGAGAAAAUGAACUGGUUUGUGCAGAACACCUGUCUGAAAAAUUAUACCAAAGUAGUCAAAUAUAUUUGCUUAACCCCAAUGCUUCCGGUUUUCACAGACAUAAAGCCCAUCAUCACAAUACAGUCAGUAUUUUUCUCAAGUUUCUCAGGAUCAUGAAACAAAUGGCCCAAGUUUUGCUCAGCAGGAAUUUGAAAUUGAAUGUAGCUUUAAGUUUCUGGAGAAAGAAGUAUACGUGAAUUUGCAUCUUGUUUGGUGAGAAUAGAAGAUCUUGGUAUUGCUGUAGAUUGCCUUCCUGUGCUCACUGGUAGUUUAUAGGGAGAAAAACAAUAUAUCUUACUUGAAGGAUGGGUAGUCUCAUUGCCUCUAGUAAAUUCACUAUGUAAAAGCAAAUUUGAAAAAUACCUAACAUUUGGUUUAAACUGGCUUCAAGCAGUCAUUAAAAGGUGGUGCUCAGAACUAUUGUCCAAAACAGAAAUUAUAAAUAAUGGAAACAUUCAGGUUUUAAAACAACAGUUAAAUGGAUUGUGGGAGCAGGAAAACCAUCUUACUUUGGUUCCAGGACAUACUGGUAAUAUAGCUAAGGAAGCAGAUGCUUAUUUAUUACCAGUGAGAGAUUUAAUCUACUAAAGAGCAUUUGUUUAUUCAAAACAUCCCUGGACUAUAUAAUUUACAAGAAAAAAAGAUUUCUUCUGAGGGAUGUGAACUGUGGAAGAAAUUAAAAUUAUUUUUUUGAUUUUAAAAAGCCACAUAAUAAAACCACUAAUGAAACCGUAACAACCUACUUCACAUAGAAGUGAAAAAAUACUCAAAAGAAACAGCUUUAACUUUAGUGAGAUGAAAGUACACUAUGGAAAAUGUUGACAUUGCUUCAUUUGGGGUUUAUAUAGUUAUUUGCUAACAUUGUUUAAGAUCUACUGGAUCUUAAUACAAUCCUGCAUAAAAAUAUAAUUUA